GCCAUCCCAUUGAUAUUUUCCCCCUUUCUCAGUUUUUCGCUCCUAAUUCAUACUUGCACUUCCCUCUGCAACAACUAGCUACCACUCGCACAAAUCCUAAAACUCUCUAGCUCCUUACAAUGACUCUCUCCCUCUGCUGCGCCAAAUCCCUUAUCUUUCUCUUCAUCCUCUCAGCCAUCCCCGUCGCCUUUAUCAUCUCUCUUGAGCUGGCCAAGCCCAACACCCAUGUCUUCUACUAUCACAGUUCCGGCUUCUUCCGCGAGUGCGCCAAGUGGGACGAUCUUAACCGUCGAUUUAUCGUCUCCUUCUUGGAUGGUGGAGUCGGAGAAAUUCGCGUGCCCGACGAUUACUCUCCUGGUACUGUUUUACAGGAGGCUACUGUGGUGAAAGACUUUGACGUAGCCGGGAACUCUUCGGUUGGUAUCGUAGUCGACCCCCCGAGGAAUCGGCUGCUCGUGGUAAACGCCGACGUUCUGGGAAACAAGUAUAGUGGGCUUGCGGCUUAUGAUUUGUCAACUUGGGAUCGUCUGUUCCUUACGCAUCUGAGUGGCCCAAAUGAUGAGAAAUCCUUUGCGGAUGAUGUUGCAGUUGAUGCAGAAGGUAAUGCAUAUAUUACUGAUGCAAAAACCAGUAAAAUUUGGAAGGUUGGGAAGGAUGGCGAAUUCCUAUCUAUUAUCAGAAGUCCACUCUUCAUUCAAAAACAGUGGUACAAAAACCUGGUUGCACUUAAUGGAAUUGUUUACCACCCAGAUGGGUUCUUGAUCGUCAUUCAUACUUUCACUGGCAAUUUGUAUAAGAUUGAUCUUGCCAAGGAUGUUGAUGUGAAGUUAAUUAAGGUAACUGAAGGAUCACUGUCAUUUGGAGAUGGUCUGGAGUUAUUGUCGCCUACUAAGCUCGUGGUUGCAGGAAAUCCUUCAGGGAGAUUAGUGGAGAGCUCUGAUGGGUGGGAGACUGCUUCUGUUGUCGCCAAGUUUAAAGGGCCAGCACAUCGGUUGGCCACUGCAGCAACUGUGAAGGAUGGGAGAGCUUAUCUUAGCCACAUGGUUGGGAUGGGAUAUCCUAAGAAGAAGCAUGUCAUUGUUGAGGCUGUUUUUUCUACAUGAACGAGGCAGUUUAACUUGUUAUUUUGGAUUUGUAAUGUAUCCCAACAAGGAAAUUUUCAGUUAUGUUUAUUUUUAUCCAUUCAAAGAUCCAUAGUGCCUGACCUUUUUAAUUGACGAGUGAAGGGUUGUAAUUGUACCAUAUUCUAUGAAUAUUGCAAAUCUACAAAGGAUUAUCUUGGCAAAAA
rnacentral:misc_RNA from 1 species